rnacentral:rRNA from 1 species
UACGUAGGGUGCAAGCGUUGUCCGGAAUUAUUGGGCGUAAAGAGCUCGUAGGCGGUCUGUCGCGUCGGAUGUGAAAAUCCAGGGCUCAACCCUGGACCUGCAUUCGAUACGGGCAGACUAGAGUUCGGUAGGGGGAGACUGGAAUUCCUGGUGUAGCGGUGAAAUGCGCAGAUAUCAGGAGGAACACCGGUGGCGAAGGCGGCCCGCUGGGCAGUGGCUGACGCUGAAGCGCGACAGCGUGGGGAGCAAACAGG